rnacentral:rRNA from 1 species
AUGGCGCGUGUCACGGCGGCGGGCGGCGUGGUGUUCAACUACGGCGGGGUGCUGCGCGUGCAGGGGAUCCUUGCCAAGACGCGCGCGCUAGGGCACAUGCUCCUCAAGCCUGAAGUGAUAUGUGAGCCAGAAAUUACCAUAACUGCGAGGUCGGAGGAUGAUGAUUUCAUGAUCCUUGCAAGCGAUGGAUUGUGGGAUGUGAUGUCAAACACGGUGGCCUGCAGAGAAACCUUGAAAUGCUUAGAAGAUAAGAGCACCAAUGCUGGCACAAUGGUAGGCCGCGAAGAAGAGGUUCGGUGUAUAUGCGCUACGUUCCACCUCACGGAUCUCGCCUUCCGUAUGCAUAGCCGAGAUGACAUAUGUGUGGUUGUGAUUGAUCUAAAGAUCAGGGGUUAUCUACAAAGAUCAGAUCACCAUCUCUACAAGUUACAAAUUUGA